GAGCUGGCAGAGUGGUUAAUUGCGUUCGUCUCCAAAACGAAAGACGUUAAUUCGUCACAUGGGUUCGAAUCCCAUGCUC
rnacentral:tRNA from 1 species